rnacentral:rRNA from 1 species
GACGAACGCUGGCGGCGUGCUUAACACAUGCAAGUCGAACGGAAAGGCCCCUUUGGGGGUACUCGAGUGGCGAACGGGUGAGUAACACGUGAGUAACCUGCCCUUGACUUCGGGAUAACUUCAGGAAACUGGGGCUAAUACCGGAUAGGAAUCCUUGCUGCAUGGUGGGGGUUGGAAAGCUUCGGCGGUUUUGGAUGGACUCGCGGCUUAUCAGCUUGUUGGUGGGGUAGUGGCUUACCAAGGCUUUGACGGGUAGCCGGCCUGAGAGGGCGACCGGCCACAUUGGGACUGAGAUACGGCCCAGACUCCUACGGGAGGCAGGAGUGGGGAAUAUUGCACAAGGGGCGGAAGCCUGAUGCAGCAACGCCGCGGGCGGGAUGACGGCCUUCGGGUUGUAAACCGCUUUCAGCAGGGGCGAAGCUUGUGGUGACGGUACCUGCAGAAGAAGCACCGGCUAACUACGUG